rnacentral:rRNA from 1 species
CACGGUGUGGUUCAUGACUGGGGUGAAGUCGUAACAAGGUAGCCCUAGGGGAACCUGGGGCUGGAUCACCUCCUUACAAAAAAG